UUAGAGCGCCUUUCAAAAUCAUGGUCUCAACGUCAAACAAGAGCACCUGAGCGGCUGAGCUCGCUAGAGAUAAGUAAGAGCAUUCAAGAUAUUUUCUUUAAUCAUUUAAGUUUGUCGUCUUUAUUAGUGAGUCCCCCUACGACUACGGCUACUAGUCAUUAUCCAAUUUCAUUGCAACUAGUUGGUGAGUGAGAGAAUUGAAGGAGGGCGGAGAAAGAAUGGGAGUUCUGGAUCAUCUGUCUGAUGUGUUUGACUGCUCCACUGGCGAAUCUAAGCACAAGAAACGCAAGCAAUUGCAGACAGUGGAGGUAAGAGUGAAGAUGGACUGUGAGGGAUGUGAGAGGAAAGUGAGAAGGUCUGUUGAGGGAAUGAAAGGAGUGAGCUCAGUACAGAUUGAGCCGAAGCAACACAAACUCACAGUUAUCGGGUAUGUGGAUCCAGAUAAGGUUGUUGCCCGUGUGGCUCAUCGCACUGGCAAGAAGGCUGAGCUUUGGCCUUAUGUUCCCUACGACGUGGUAGCUCACCCAUAUGCACAAGGGGUGUAUGACAAGAAAGCCCCUGCUGGGUACGUGCGCAGGGCAGAUGAUGAUCCUCAACGUUACCAGCUUGCCCGUGCCAGUUCCACUGAAGUUCGCUACACCACUGCCUUCAGCGAUGAAAACCCAGCUGCAUGUGUUGUCAUGUGAUGUGUGUGUGUGUAUAUAUAUCAGGUGAGAACAAGUCUUUAGGUGUGGACGUGAGGACAAAUUAUGGCUAUUGAUUAUGCAUUAUGCAAGAUCGAUGGAGUUGAAGGUAGUUGCAAGGCUAGCUCCCUACUUAUCUAAGGGGUUUGGAUGGAUGGCUGUUUGUUUUCUGUUUUCCUUAAUUUUGGACUAAUACAAGCAAGGCAAGGCAAGGCUGUAAGUGAUUUGUUUGUUUGGUUAUGAUGGAUGUUAAAUACUUCAUGUAUUUGAAUAAUAUUUGUUUGUUCAUGGAAAUGAGGAAACGUAAGCUAGCUAGCACGAAAA